CGUGGGGCCAAAUGACAUACAAAUAUAUAAAGUAAGAAAUAUUUUAUUUGGCAAAAGUACAAAAUUGUACGGCCACGGCUUGACAAAGAAUGAGACUGCCGAGAAACAUAAUUGGCAAGUCCCUAGUAUAUAUAAUUAAACCUUAUAGUCCAUUCCUUAUUCCUUAUUUCCACAUUAUUGUCCAUUCCUUAUUCCUUAUUUCCACAUUAUUGUCCAUUCCUUAUUCCUUAUUUCCACAUUAUUCUUAUUCCUUAUUUCCACCUUAUUGUUAUUCCUUAUAAUGUCAUUUCCUUAUAUAUCAAUAUAAUAUCCUUAUUAACAUUAUUGCUUCCAACAUAUAUCGGAUGCUGGCCCUGGGAAACAGAAGCUCAGCGGAUACAUAAUUCCAUUAUAAGAAGCAUAAUAUAUUUGUAGAUGUUGUGUCGCUAUUUUCGCCAUUAAAUGGUCGGAGUCUUUGUCUGAAGCCGUGACGAAGGAUUGGGAUUACAAUGGUCGGAGUCUUUGUCUGAAGCCGUGACGAAGGAUUGGGAUUACAAUCGGAAUAAGCUACCAGUCAUUUCAACCUGAAAAAUAGAACAAAAACAGCAGAAAAACGAACAACAUGAUAUAACAUAAUAUAACAUUUAACACAUGUAUAUUAACUACAUUUUAGGAGUAUAUAUGUCUUUAAUCUAAGUGGUGGGUGGGUGGGUAACUUUUGAAACAAACAUUAGUUAAUUCAUACGGAACCCAAUUUUUUGGUCUUCCCUCUGCUGUAUCGUACGUGGUAAAGAAAGAAUGAUGACGUCACAGUUAUCAAGGUUAAAAUAAUUAACGUGACUCAUAAUACAUAACAAGUUCCACCACGUGUUCAAAGCGGGACAACUCCCAAAACGUAAGCCCACUUUCCUCCGAUAACCGGAUUUAUUCUUCAUAGGAAUAAAUCUUAUUAUAUG
rnacentral:lncRNA from 1 species